rnacentral:lncRNA from 1 species
GUCGGGACAAUUAUGAUGGUUAUGAUGUUGGCUAGGUUUCUUCAAGGGUUUAACUGGAAACUCUACCAAGGUUGUGGACCGCUAAGCCUCGAGGAAGAUGAUGCAUCAUUGCUGAUGGCUAAGCCUCUUCUUUUGUCUGUUGAGCCACGCUUGGCACCAAACCUUUAUCCAAAAUUCCGUCCUUAACAAGACGCCUUGUUUAUUCUCUGUGAUAUUCUUCGACGCUUUGUCGUUUCUGUGUUAUGUUACUUGACGUACUGUUGUUUAUUGUUGUUUUUAGACUAUCCUUUGCCAGAAAACGCUAUAUUGUUACAUUCGUGUGUCUUCUUUUUUUCUGUAUCUCCGUAACUUAAUAAUGAAUAUCAAUCAAUAAUCCGGGCGCAACUAUAACUUAUGAGGUAUAAUGAUAACCGUGUUUAAUUGAAAUGGUGCGAAGAAUUAGACUACGUAGAAUGUUUUUCAUUAUCAGGAUAAACGUUGGUGACAUGACACCGCCACUAAUAAGAAUAUUGUUCAUUAUCAGGAUAAACGUGUUCACCUACCCAAGGUAGUAUUAUUUAUUUAUUAAAAUAAUAGAUAUGUUUCUACGAAAAAAAAAUUAAAAUAUUAGUUGUAAAAAUAUUUCGCUGGAAUCCACCUUUCAAUGUUGUAUAUACUGAUGAAGUUAAAAAAUGAAUUGAAUCAAAGUUGAUGAUAAUUAACAAGUGAUCAAGACCAGUUUAAGAAAAAUCAAUCGGAUUCUUUGGUUAAUUCCGUCUCAUGUUCCAGUUUGCUGUUAAUUAAUAAGCGAAAGAAAAAUGAUUUUAUCAGGAGUAAUAAGAGGCUCAUCCGGUAGGAGAAUGGGAGAUGGAAAGCCAAAGGUUGGACAAGUGUUUUAAAAGAGAGAGUCGGAUGUUCAAAAUUUUUGUAAUAAAGGUCUUAGAGCACCCCAAUGGUGGUUUUUAUGGGUUUCAUAAAAAAAAUUCUUAAAGUUAAAAGUAAUUAAAAUAAAUGAAAACAACAAAUAAAGUUAAAGAUUGUUAAGAGUUGGCUCUAAUAUAAAGAUUGUUAAGAGGUUUAAGGAUUGUUUGGAGUCCUAUAUGUGUCGUUUUCUGAUUUGAUCAAAAAUAUUAAUAAAAGAUAAAAAAAAAUAUGCCUUCAAAUCUCAGUAAUAUGAUAGACAUUAUAUUCGAACUCGAGUUCGUGAUCGGACUAUACAUCAAUAAUUGAAAGCUCAUGUUAAGCGUAUAUGACAAUAAUUUGUUUUUUUAUAUGUAUUUUUUAUAUGCUUUUAUGUUUUGUAUGUUUAAUUUUUUUAGAAAAUUGUAAUAUUUAUUAAGUUUUAUCAAAUAAAAAUGUUUAUAGGUAAAAUCUUGGAUCCCUCCACUGUGUAGAGUAGAUUCUUGACGCAUGUUCAUAGUCAUAGUAUUAUAUUCCCUUUAUCUUUUAGAGGGAAAAUUCCCCUUGUAUUUGGUUAACUUUCUCAUGUCCCAUUCCUAUAUUUAAAUCUUGAAUAUAGUCGUGUAAGAGCAUCUCCAAUGGUGAGAGCCCUCCAUGGGCUCUCACCAUUUUUUUAAGAUUAAAAUUUUCAAAUUUAUGAGAUGAGAGCUUUUGUUAAUUUUGCAACGUCCAAUGGUAGGCUCUCUUUGUGGGGUUCUCAGGAAAAAAUUAAAUUAUUUUUAAUUUUUUUAUUUCAUAAAUCUGAAAAAUAUUAUAAUUCAUAACAUAUUAAAGAUACAAUAAUUUCAUACAUUUGAAAAUAAAUUUGGAAAAAAAAAAACGAUUAGUUAUUCUGUUGAUUGUUGCGAAAUUUUCUCCAUAUAUGCUCAACCAAAUCACUUUUCAAUUGUUGAUGCAUAUUUUGAUUACGAAGUUGAUUUCGCAUGCCCAUCAUAUUCUCAAUAUUUGGAGGCAUACCUGUAGAAUACGAUAAAUCGACUUGUGAAGUUUGGUUUCCUUCAACUUGUAGGAAUUCUGAAACAUCAAACUGAGUGUUGUACCCAUCUCGUUCGUCUUCGACUAUCAUAUUGUGCAGUAUGAUACAUGCUUUCAUAAUAUUUCCAAUUUUUUCCUUAUCCCAAACAAGAGCUGGGUUUUUAAUAAUGUGAAAGCGAGCUUGCAAUACUCCAAAUGCACGUUCGACAUCUUUACGGGCCGCUUCUUGAUGUGUAGCAAAUAAAGUGUCUUUCCGAGUUUGUGGUAGUCGAAUAGACUGAAACUUAUUGAAGUAUUAGCAAUGAAUGCCAAGGUAAAGACACUAAUUGUCUUUACCUACAAUACUCCAACUAGAAAGCAUUUAUUUCAAAGAACAAAGAAAGCAUUUACAAAAGCAAAAACUGUCCUAAUCAAACACAAACCAAGCAUUAAUCACAUAGCACACACUGGUAAUUAAAUGAAACAACCACUUUGAACUGUACCUUGAUAUAGAGGCUGUUAAAUCGAUGCCUUCUCCACUUGUGAGAUUUGUCAGGUUCAACCACUCCAUUUAACCUCACCAAAACAGAGACAAAGAAAGAAAUAUUAACAUAAGAUUAAAAAUUCAAAAUGAUUCAAGUAAUUACUAAGAGAUAUUGAAUCAGGUUUUCAAAAUGAUCAUGCCUCCGAGAAAUACCAAGUAUUAACCUUUCCACAUGACUCAAACAAAGAAAAACCAGACUCUAUGUGUGUUGGUUAAUGCCUAAAGCAACUAGAGCUUGAAAGCUUAAACUAAUCUUUUAAUGCUUUGAUCACGAAGUUUAUAUUUCAGAAUAAAAACAGAAACUAUUUAUUAAGGAAGCUAUACACUAUAUAGUCUCAUAUAAUCCAUAAUUCAAGAAUCAAAGCAUUUUGAAGAAAAGAUCUACAUACAUUAACGAAACUAUUUACCAUAAAUCAAGCAUGCUAUGACUCAAUUUGAUUCAAUCAUGACAAGGAAAUAUCAAUGAAACCCCUAAUGAAACAAUCCUGACUCAAUUUGAUUCAAUCCGAAACCCUAAACCCAAAAAAUCAAACAUACAACGACUCCUCCUCACUUCAAUCAUGCCAAAUAACAAACACAUAGCCUCCAAUUUAGUUAAAAAAACACCUUAUCAAUGCUUAGAACUGAAAACCCCAAUUUUCGAAACUAUGAACCCUAAUUUCAAAAAUUCAAAUAACUCUAAAAAGAACAUCAAAUACCCCAAAUAAAUCAUGAUAACGCACAAAAGCCAAGCAAAUGCUCUUACCAAUUACGAUCCAAGCUGAAUCGAUUACUCUCCAUCCAUUGAAUUUGGAUCUCCAAUUUGCAGUGAUCUCUCUCAUUCCCGAUCUCCACAUGCGAUGCAUCAUCAUUCUCAUUCCCGGCCUUAACCACUCAAUUCUUCCCUCAAUCGUCGCCGUCUGCCUCAAUCGCCGGAGAAAAUCACUCCAAAUCGCCUUCGACAUCGCCAACAAAGAAAGAAAGAGAGAAGCAGCUUUUGUUUUUUUUUUACGCGUUACUUUGUGUUUUUUUUUUUGUGUUUUUUUUUCUUCUUUUGUCUCAAAUUCGACCAAUGACAAGCUGCCACGUCAUCGGUUCUCUUAACCCUCAAAACCUCUCACAAGAGAGCUGUCUCUCUUCUUGAAUCUUAAUUUUGAUUUAUUUUUGCAAAUGUUUUUGAAGAGAACUCAUUGAGAGAACCCAAAAAAUAGGCCAUUGGAGAUGCUCUAAGUGAUUAAACAUAUAUUACAACACCACUUAUAGCCACAUACAAAUCUUUAGAUAACAAAUAUAUAUAUAUAUAUAUAUAUAUAUUUAAGAAAAGUGUUCAAGUUUGUAAUAUGAGUUUAUGGAUCUAGUAAAUAAAUUGAAAGGAAUUAUACGGAUUUUCUUAAAUAUUUUUUUAAUGUGAUAAAGAAUUUUUUAAGAAUUUACAUUCUUUAUUUUUUUAAACGGCCUAAAAGAAUUCUACAUUCAAAAUACAAAACAAAUUAAAACACUUUAUGUGAAACAAAACUAAAGCCCUUGAAACAGAAGUACGUAGUAUACUUUUCAAAAAUCCAUAAAGUUUUUACAGUUUUACUAUUGCUACUCAAACUAGAUAUAAAAUAUAUAAACGUGAUUACCGUAGUACCUACCCAAAAGCCCAAACCCUACGUGAGCAUCACAUGCAUGAUAUCGAUUCUAUAAAUAAUCAACACAACAAACACUUUCCAGAUAUCGCUAUUGCUAACGAGCACACACCUCACUACACGCAUACAUACAUGAUGAUGAUGAUGAGCUUUACCACAUCAUUACCAUACCCUUUUCAAAUCCUACUAGUCUUUAUCCUCUCCAUGGCAUCAAUCACUUUACUGGGUCGAAUACUCUCAAGACCCACCAAAACCAAAGACCAAUCUCGCCAGCUUCCGCCUGGCCCACCAGGAUGGCCCAUCCUCGGCAAUCUACCCGAACUAAUCAUGACUCGUCCUAGGUCCAAAUAUUUCCGCCUUGCCAUGAAAGAGCUAAAAACAGAUAUUGCAUGUUUCAACUUUGCCGGAAUCCGCGCCAUCACCAUAAACUCCGACGAGAUCGCUAGAGAAGCGUUUAGAGAGCGAGACGCAGAUUUGGCAGACCGGCCUCAACUUUUCAUCAUGGAGACAAUCGGAGACAAUUACAAAUCAAUGGGAAUCUCGCCGUACGGUGAACAAUUCAUGAAGAUGAAAAGAGUGAUCACAACGGAAAUUAUGUCCGUUAAAACGUUGAAUAUGUUGGAAGCUGCGAGAACCAUCGAAGCGGAUAAUCUCAUUGCUUACGUUCACUCCAUGUAUCAACGGUCCGAGACGGUCGAUGUUAGAGAACUCUCGAGGGUUUAUGGUUACGCAGUGACCAUGAGAAUGUUGUUUGGAAGGAGACAUGUCACGAAAGAAAACGUGUUUUCCGAUGAUGGGAGACUAGGAAAAGCGGAAAAACAUCAUCUUGAGGUGAUUUUCAACACUCUUAACUGUUUACCAUCUUUUAGUCCAGCGGAUUACGUGGAACGAUGGUUGAGAGGUUGGAAUGUUGAUGGUCAAGAGAAGAGGGUUACAGUGAAUUGUAACAUUGUUCGUAGUUACAACAAUCCCAUAAUUGACGAGAGGGUCGAGUUAUGGAGGGAAAAAGGUGGUAAGGCUGCUGUUGAAGAUUGGCUUGAUACGUUCAUUACGUUAAAAGAUCGAAACGGAAAGUACUUGGUCACGCCAGACGAAAUCAAAGCUCAAUGCGUUGUAAGUUAAAUAUAACUUUUAUAAAAGAGUGUAUGUAUAUACAUAGAGAAAUAGAUAUAUACACUAAAUAAGAUGAUCAUCUGAAUUCUGACAAGCAGAAAAAAAAAAAAAAUGUUGAAUACUAUAUAUUGACUAAAGUUGCGAGAUCUACGUAUAUAUGUAUAUCUAGCUACAUUAAUUUGUUUGUUGUUCUGGUGUUUUGUUACAGGAAUUUUGUAUAGCAGCGAUCGAUAAUCCGGCAAAUAACAUGGAGUGGACACUUGCUGAAAUGUUAAAGAACCCGGAGAUUCUUAGAAAUGCUCUCAAGGAGUUAGAUGAAGUAGUUGGAAAAGACAGGCUUGUGCGAGAAUCAGACAUACCAAAUCUAAACUACUUAAAAGCUUGUUGUAGAGAAACCUUCAGGAUUCACCCAAGUGCUCAUUAUGUCCCUUCCCAUCUUGCCCGUCAAGAUACCACCCUUGGGGGUUAUUUCAUUCCCAAAGGUAAAAAAGAAGAAGAAGAGAUAAAUCUUUUGCGUUUUUUCUCUAGUACUCAAUAUAACUAGUAAGUUUAGGCAUGCGCAUGGGUUUCGUUAAGAAAUAAAAAAUUUAUGCAUGGUUAUUCUACAACAUGUAAAUUCUGUCGUACGUUUUUACCGAUAGAAUCAAUAACACUUGAUAUACCUAAAUAUAACGUUUUUACCCCCUACUUUUAAUAAAUUUUAUCUUUGGUACUUUUAUUUGUUUUUUAUAUAUAGCCUAAAAAUAACUCUGACUAUAUUUCUUUUAUUUUUUUAUGUCAAUUACUGUGUUUAUAUAUUAUCUUUUUUUUUUAAAAAAAAUCUAGCUAUAUAUUUCCUAUGGUAGUUUUUACGUUUUGAUUUUCUUGUUUUCAUUUAAUUUAAUUUUCGCAUCAUAUUCAUACUUUUAGUAGGUUCACAGAGUAGUCUUUGAUUGAGUUUGUGGUGAUUCCACAAAACGUAUUCAAGUUUGAAUCCAGUCACGUUUAUACAUCAAACAUCUAACCGGUUGAGCUAGCAGCAUCUUGAUAUAUAUGAUAUGCGUUAUAUCUUAAGAAAUGGUUGAUUUUUGGACAGGUAGCCACAUUCAUGUAUCCCGCCCUGGACUAGGCCGGAACCCUAAAAUAUGGAAAGAUCCAUUGGUAUACAAACCGGAGCGUCACCUCCAAGGAGACGGAAUCACAAAAGAGGUUACUCUGGUGGAAACAGAGAUGCGUUUUGUCUCGUUUAGCACCGGUCGACGUGGCUGCAUCGGUGUUAAAGUCGGGACGACCAUGAUGGUUAUGAUGUUGGCUAGGUUUCUUCAAGGGUUUAACUGGAAUCUCCAUAAAGAUUUUGGACCAUUAAGCCUCGAGGAAGAUGAUGCAUCAUUGCUGAUGGCUAAACCUCUUCUCUUGUCCGUUGAGCCACGCUUGGCACCAAGCCUUUAUCCAAAAUUCCGCCCCUAAGAAGAAGAAAAAAACAAGAUGGUGUAAGAAAAAAAAGAAGAAGAAAACCAGACGCCUUGUUUCUUUAUCUGUUAUGUUCUUCAACGCUUAGUCGUCUCUAUGUUUUUUUUUGGUUUUAAAAAAAUUUGGUUUGCUCGUUUCUAUGUUAUAAGUUUUGCUUGACGUAGUGUCGUUUGUUGUUGUCUUUUUCUUUUGUAUCCCCGUCACUUCAUAAUAAACACCGAUCAAACAUUCGGAGUAGCAUAGUUAAUUAGUUAUAACUUAAGAGGUUAAUGAUGGUCGUGUUUAAUUGGAAUGUUGUUAAGGAUUAGAGUACUAAAAAG